GACAGAGGGUGCAAACGUUGUUCGGAAUUACUGGGCGUAAAGCGCGUGUAGGCGGCUAAGUAAGUCGGGCGUGAAAUCCCACGGCUCAACCGUGGAAGUGCACUCGAAACUGCAUAGCUAGAGUCCUGGAGAGGAAGGUGGAAUGCUUGGUGUAGAGGUGAAAUUCGUAGAUAUCGAGAGGAACACCGGUGGCGAAGGCGGCGAUCUGGACGAUGACUGACGCUGAGACGCGAAAGCGUGGGGAGCAAACAGG
rnacentral:rRNA from 1 species